CAGCCUGGGCCGGCAGGAGGAAGCGCAGGGUGAUGGCGCUGAGCCCCCCCGAGAGCCAGCCGGGCCUGGAGCCCCAGAGCAGGAGGGUGACAAGGACCCAGUACCCAUCAACCACCAGCAGCUGCGGAGCCUGGAGCCCGAGCCGGGCGGGAUCCCGCUGCACUCGCCAUGGACCUUCUGGCUGGACAAGUGACUUCCAGGUGCCACAG